CAGCUUCUAGAGGCUGCCUGGGUGCCUUAGAUUGUGCCCUCUUCCUCCAUCUUCAAAGCCAGCAAUGACAGACUUUUGAGUUUGCCACAUCUGCGUCACAACUUAAUUCUUGAAAAGGCCGUAUAAGAUGCUGCUUCCUCAGGAUGCCUGCUCUUUAUCAGCAUCCCUGUCUCCAUGGUGAUAGCCUUCUUGCCGUAAUCAGAGGGAUGACCUACUUAACCAUGGAAAUAUUGGCUUCAUUCGAGUUAACUUUGCUGGUAAUAUGCACGUAUGUGUUUAAUUCCAUUUUUGA
rnacentral:lncRNA from 10 species